rnacentral:rRNA from 1 species
GACGAACCACCCAAACGUUAUUCGGAAUUACUGGGCUUAAAGAGUGCGUAGGCGGCCUUGUAAGUAGGGUGUGAAAUCCCACAGCUCAACUGUGGAACUGCGCUCUAAACUACAUGGCUGGAGGGAUAUAGAGGUGAGCGGAACUGAUGGUGGAGCGGUGAAAUGCGUUGAUAUCAUCAGGAACACCGGAGGCGAAGGCGGCUCACUGGGUAUCUUCUGACGCUGAGGUACGAAAGCUAGGGGAGCGAACGGG